rnacentral:rRNA from 1 species
UACGGAGGGUGCAAACGUUGCUCGGAAUCAUUGGGCGUAAAGCGCACGUAGGCGGCCUAGUAUGUCGGGUGUGAAAGCCCUCGGCUUAACCGGGGAAGUGCAUUCGAAACUGCUAGGCUUGAGUACUGAAGAGGAUCGCGGAAUUCCCGGUGUAGAGGUGAAAUGCGUAGAUAUCAAGAGGAACACCUGAGGUGAAGACGGGUUGCUGGGCCGACACUGACGCUGAUAGCGCGAAAGCCAGGGGAGCAAACAGG